rnacentral:rRNA from 1 species
GAUGAACGCUGGCGGCGUGCCUAAUACAUGCAAGUCGAGCGAACAGAUGAGGAGCUUGCUCCUCUGACGUUAGCGGCGGACGGGUGAGUAACACGUGGAUAACCUACCUAUAAGACUGGGAUAACUUCGGGAAACCGGAGCUAAUACCGGAUAAUAUAUUGAACCGCAUGGUUCAAUAGUGAAAGACGGUUUUGCUGUCACUUAUAGAUGGAUCCGCGCCGCAUUAGCUAGUUGGUAAGGUAACGGCUUACCAAGGCAACGAUGCGUAGCCGACCUGAGAGGGGGGUCGGGCACAACGGAAACUGGGAACGGGCCCAAAUCCUAAGGGAGGCAAGAGGAGGGAAAUUUCCGGAAUUGGGGAAAGGCUGAAGGAGCAAAGGCGGGUGAAGGAAUAAGGGUCUCGGAACGGAAAAACUUGGUAAUAAGGAAGAAAAAAAGGGGAAGGUAACAGGCAAGUCUUGAAGGGACCUAAUCAGAAAGGCAAGGCUAACUACGUG